rnacentral:rRNA from 1 species
AACGAACGCUGGCGGCAGGCCUAACACAUGCAAGUCGAGCGGACCUUUCGGGGUCAGCGGCGGACGGGUGAGUAACGCGUGGGAAUAUGCCCUUCUCUACGGAAUAGUCCUGGGAAACUGGGGGUAAUACCGUAUACGCCCUUUGGGGGAAAGAUUUAUCGGGGAAGGAUUAGCCCGCGUUGGAUUAGGUAGUUGGUGGGGUAAUGGCCUACCAAGCCGACGAUCCAUAGCUGGUUUGAGAGGAUGAUCAGCCACACUGGGACUGAGACACGGCCCAGACUCCUACGGGAGGCAGCAGUGGGGAAUCUUAGACAAUGGGGGCAACCCUGAUCUAGCCAUGCCGCGUGAGUGAUGAAGGCCUUAGGGUUGUAAAGCUCUUUCAGCUGGGAAGAUAAUGACGGAACCAGCAGAAGAAGCCCCGGCUAACUCCGUG